GUCGUCUUUGACCAACAUCUCAUGGAGAAUCAUGUUUUCAGGAAAUGAAAUGAUUCACCAUCACCUCCAGAGAAGCUCUUUGCUGGGGUCCUGGGAGUUAUCUGCCUUAUCUUGAUGUACAGUGUAGUAAGAGUGAUACCUUUUAUGCCUGGUACUGGUAAACUGGAGAAGAACAAUUCAUCCCUCAACGCAAACAUCCUUAAAG